rnacentral:rRNA from 1 species
UACGUAGGUCCCGAGCGUUGUCCGGAUUUAUUGGGCAUAAAGCGAGCGCAGGUGGUUUAUUUAGUCUGGUGUAAAAGGCAGUGGCUCAACCAUUGUAUGCAUUGGAAACUGGUAGACUUGAGUGCAGGAGAGGAGAGUGGAAUUCCAUGUGUAGCGGUGAAAUGCGUAGGUAUAUGGAGGAACACCGGUGGCGAAAGCGGCUCUCUGGCCUGUAACUGACACUGAGGCUCGAAAGCGUGGGGAGCAAACAGG